GAUGAACGCUGGCGGUGUGCCUAAAACAUGCAAGUCGAGCGGUAACAGGCUCACUAUUUUCUUGUCACCAUCAUCGAGAUGGAUUUUGAGGAGAGAAGAGUGAGCGCUGACGAGCGGCGGACGGCUGAGUAACGCGUGGGAACGUACCCCAAAGUGAGGGAUAACGCACCGAAAGGUGUGCUAAUACCGCAUGUGAUCUUCGGAUUAAAAGUAUUUAUACGCUAUGGGAACGGCCUGCGUCGGAUUAGGUUGUUGGUGAGGUAAUGGCUCACCAAGCCGACGAUCCGUAGCUGGUCUGAGAGGAUGAUCAGCCAGACUGGAACUGAGACACGGUCCAGACUCCUACGGGAGGCAGCAGUGGGGAAUCUUGGGCAAUGGGCGAAAGCCUGACCCAGCGACGCCGCGUUGGGGAUGAAGCCCUUCGGGGCGUAAACCCAUGUUGUAGGGACGAAGAAGUGACGGUACCUACGAGAAAGCCCGGCAACUACGUGCCAG
rnacentral:rRNA from 1 species